AGAGUUUGAUCCUGGCUCAGGACGAACGCUGGCGGCGUGCGUAACACAUGCAAGUCGAACGAGAGAGUGAGAGAAGCUUGCUUUUCUUACGAUCGAGUGGCAAACGGGUGAGUAACGCGUAAACAACCUGCCCCGCAGAUGGGGACAACAGCUGGAAACGGCUGCUAAUACCGAAUACGGUCCUCUUAGCGCAUGGUAAGAGGAAGAAAGGGUGGCCUCUGGAACAAGCUACCGCUGCGGGAGGGGUUUGCGUCUGAUUAGGCAGUUGGUGGGGUAACGGCCCACCAAACCAACGAUCAGUAGCCGGUCUGAGAGGAUGAACGGCCACACUGGAACUGAGACACGGUCCAGACUCCUACGGGAGGCAGCAGUGGGGAAUCUUCCGCAAUGGACGAAAGUCUGACGGAGCAACGCCGCGUGAGUGAAGACGGCCUUCGGGUUGUAAAGCUCUGUGAUCCGGGACGAAAGAGCCUGAGGUAAAUAGCCUAAGGAAGUGACGGUACCGGAAAAGCAAGCCACGGCUAACUACGUGCCAGCAGCCGCGGUAAUACGUAGGUGGCAAGCGUUGUCCGGAAUUAUUGGGCGUAAAGCGCGCGCAGGCGGCUUCCUAAGUCCAUCUUAAAAGUGCGGGGCUUAACCCCGUGAUGGGAUGGAAACUGGGAAGCUGGAGUAUCGGAGAGGAAAGUGGAAUUCCUAGUGUAGCGGUGAAAUGCGUAGAGAUUAGGAAGAACACCGGUGGCGAAGGCGACUCUCUGGACUGUAACUGACGCUGAGGCUCGAAAGCGUGGGGAGCAAACAGGAUUAGAUACCCUGGUAGUCCACGCCGUAAACGAU
rnacentral:rRNA from 1 species